UGGGGAAUCUUGGACAAUGGGGGCAACCCUGAUCCAGCGACGCCGCGUGGGUGGUAAGGCCUUCGGGUUGUAAAGCCCUUUCAGCGGGGAAGAUGAUGACAUUACCCGCAGAAGAAGCGCCGGCUAACUCCGUGCCAGCAGCCGCGGUAAGACGGAGGGCGCUAGCGUUGUUCGGAAUCACUGGGCGUAAAGGGCGCGUAGGCGGCUGUUUAAGUCGAGGGUGAAAGCCCGGGGCUCAACCCCGGAACGGCCUUCGAGACUGGGCAGCUUGAGACCGGAAGAGGAGGGUGGAAUACCCAGUGUAGAGGUGAAAUUCGUAGAUAUUGGGUGGAACACCAGUGGCGAAGGCGGCUCGCUGGGCCAUUCCUGACGCUGAGACGCGAAAGCGUGGGGAGCAAACAGGAUUAGAUACCCCCGUAGUCC
rnacentral:rRNA from 1 species